GACGAACGCUGGCGGCGUGCCUAAUACAUGCAGGUUGAGCGCUGAAGGUUGGUACUUGUACCAACUGGAUGAGCAGCGAACGGGUGAGUAACGCGUGGGGAAUCUGCCUUUGAGCGGGGGACAACAUUUGGAAACGAAUGCUAAUACCGCAUAAAAACUUUAAACACAAGUUUUAAGUUUGAAAGAUGCAAUUGCAUCACUCAAAGAUGAUCCCGCGUUGUAUUAGCUAGUUGGUGAGGUAAAGGCUCACCAAGGCGAUGAUACAUAGCCGACCUGAGAGGGUGAUCAGCCACAUUGGGACUGGGACACGGCACAAACUCCUACGGGAGGCAGCAGUAGGGGAUCUUCGGCAAUGGGCGAAAGUCUGACCGAGCAACGCCGCGUGAGUGAAGAAGGUUUUCGGAUCGUAAAACUCUGUUGGUAGAGAAGAACGUUGGUGAGAGUGGAAAGCUCAUCAAGUGACGGUAACUACCCAGAAAGGGACGGCUAACUACGUG
rnacentral:rRNA from 1 species